rnacentral:misc_RNA from 1 species
GAUGAAGAACGGAGCGAAAUGCGAUAAGUAAUGUGAAUUGCAGAAUUCAGUGAAUCAUCGAAUCUUUGAACGCACCUUGCGCCCUUUGGCUAUUCCGAAGGGCAUGCCUGUUUGAGUAUCAUGAACACCUCAACUCUCAUGGUUUGCCAUGAUGAGCUUGGACUUUGGGGGUCUUGCCGGCCUAUGGGUCGGCUCCUCUCAAAUUAAUCAGCUUGCCAGUGUUUGGUGGCAUCACAGGUGUGAUAACUAUCUACGCUUGUGGUUUUCCAUCAGGUAACCUUCAGUGAUGGAGGUUCGCUGGGGCUCAUAAAUGUCUCUCCUCAGUGAGGACAGCUUUUUUGAACGUUUGAUCUCAAAUCAGGAAGGACUACCCGCUGAACUUAAGCAUAUCAAUAAGCGGAGGA